UACGAAGGGGCUAGCGUUGUUCGGAUUUACUGGGCGUAAAGCGCACGUAGGCGGUUCGUUAAGUCGGAUGUGAAAGCCCUCGGCUCAACUGAGGAAGUGCACCCGAAACUGGCGAGCUUGAGUACGAAAGAGGAUCGCGGAAUUCCCGGUGUAGAGGUGAAAUUCGUAGAUAUUGGGAAGAACACCGGUGGCGAAGGCGGCUCACUGGCUCAUUACUGACGCUCAGGCGCGACAGCGUGGGGAUCAAACAGG
rnacentral:rRNA from 1 species